ensembl:lncRNA
AGAAAGAAAACAACGACAGAAGGACUAUUUCAGCAUCUGAAUUUAUUAGUUCCACGUGACAUGUGUCUGAGAAUGGCCUCUGAGUGACAUAGUGUUGAUGUUUCUGCAUGUGUUGGAUUUCGUGAUUUCACUAACAGCUUGAAUUUUUAAAAAACUUCUUCUGACUCCUGCACAGGUGGUGCCUGACAUGAGCCCACACACCAUUUGCUCACAAAUAUGUCGAAGAUCUCAUUUACUAAGAGCCUUGUCCUGAAAACCCCGGGCCUAAACUACCAGGAAACUAUUCCAGUGGGGACACUGAGCCCAGGACACGACCACGGCCACACAGUUUGCAAGAGGCAGAACCUACACAACCCAGGUUCAACCCCAAAUGCUCUGUGUUCUUUGCACGGAGACCUGCUGCUCACAGGAGGAACAGUCAUUCCUGGCCAGGCCCUUUCCAACCUGUGGUCCAGUAAUAACAACAGCGCCUCACAUGUGUGACUUUUCACCCAGCUGUUCGCUCUGAUCACAGGUCUAUUACUGCCGCCCGAUUGUCGCAUUAUAGAUUUUCUCUUCUCUUUUCACAGAACCAAUAAUUAUGGGGAAAUGACACUAAAAACUUAAUGUUCCAAAAGCCGUUUCUGAAAAAAUGAGAUGUCGGUCCGGGUACCAGAUAGCAUCCAUGGAAAGGCAGUUGGGCCAGGAGCUGAAGGAGCAUCCAUGAGGAUGUGGUGAUAAUCAGGGCAAGGAUGCUGCCUGCGCUCCAGGACUUGAGCCAUGCCUCAAUUAGCAGUUUUUACAGGAGCCGCGGGAGUGGAUUAACCUCGUGACCCGAGGACUUGCUCAGAAGUGGGCUCUUUUUCCACUCUCCCUGCCUCUGUGGACGGCUGGCUUCAUCCCUUAAUACCAACGUGAAAUGAAAUAUGUGAAACAGUAACCAAAUCACUGACACCAGAUGUGACGCCAAAUGUUCGGAAUUAAUCCCAAACAGCUGAAUCGGGGUCGCUGUCCUCACUUCCCCAGCUUCCGGCCUGGAGGAUGGCCCUGUGGGGUCCACUGGGGCUGUGGCCGCAGCUGUCACCUGGCAGCUCAAUCCCAGAUCCCUGCCUUCCCGGCCUGCCAGCUUUUGCAAGAUGAGGUCGAAAGGCCCUGACAGCCGCACGGAAGACUGUAUUUCCACCUUCACCAGUUCUCCUGUUCUAAACUCAGGCUCAGAAGAAGAUCCUGGGGGCUGAGUGGCGGAGUCCUUCUCCCUGACUUCAUGGCGAGGCAGCCAGCAAGACUAGGCAGUAAUUACCCCCCCCAGGUGAUUGUACAAUGUCUGCGGGUGCCUUGCAAAGCUGGUUGGGAGCCAUGUAGAUACGUGCAGGCUGAGAAGUCUCUGCAUGACGGGAUCUGCUGCUGCCUGCACGGCUCUUGCCACCCCCAAGGGGAUGAUAAGGAAAUAACUGGUUGGGCCAUGCCAGAGUUUUUUUUGGUGAUCAUACAUAGGGGACCCAGCCCUAAGAGAGUUAGACCCUGAAGAUCUUAAACAUCCUUGACAUUUACAUAGCAAACACCAGUGUUUGAAACAUUUGGAAUAAAUCUACAGAUGGAGCACCAGAUUUCAUUGUGUUUCUAAUGGCAAAUGUGGAUGUGAACUGAGAUUGCGUAAAACUAAAAGUCCCCUAACAGGACUUCCCUGGUGCUGUAAGAACAGUUCUUUUCAUGGCCAGACUGUAAAACCAGCAAAGGAUGCUAUAUUAUACGACUGUAUCAGAAAAGUGCUUCCCCCUCCCCAAAUAAAUUUACUAAGAGUUGACUCUAAGACUUAGUUCAGGGCUUCCCUGGUGGCUCAGUAGUAAAGAAUCUGCCUGCCAAAUGCAGGAGAGACACAGGUUCGAUCCCUGAUCCAGGAAGAUUCCGCAUGCCACGGAGCAACUAAGCCGGUGCUCUGCAACUACUGAGCCUGUGCUCUAGAGCCCAUGAGCCGCAAUUACUGAAGCCUGCUAGACCUAAGGCCCGUGCUCCACAACCAGAGAAGCCGCCACAGUGAGAGGCCCGAGCACCGCAGCUAGAGAGCAGCCUCCACUUGUCACAACUAGAGAAAACCCCCCCAACAACAGACCCAGGAC